UACGUAGGGUGCGAGCGUUAAUCGGAAUUACUGGGCGUAAAGCGUGCGCAGGCGGCGCGUUAAGACAGGUGUGAAAGCCCCCGAGCUUAACUUGGGAAUUGCGCUUGUGACUGGCGUGCUGGAGUGUGGCAGAGGGGAGUGGAAUUCCGACGUGUAGCAGUGAAAUGCGUAGAUAUGCGGAGGAACACCGAUGGCGAAGGCAAUCCCCUGGGCCUGCACUGACGCUCAUGCACGAAAGCGUGGGGAGCAAACAGG
rnacentral:rRNA from 1 species